AUAACUUUUAAUAACAGAUCUCUUGGUUCUAGUAUUAAUAAAGAACGCAGCGAAAUGCGAUAAGUAGUGUAAAUUGUAGAAUUUAGUGAAUUAUUAAAUCUUUAAACGCACAUUGCGCCCCUUAGUAUUCUAUAGGGUAUACCUGUUUAAGCGUUAUUUGUACCCUUAAGCUCUGCUUAGUGUUAGGUGUUUAUUCUACUUAGGACUUGCCUUAAAACAAUUAGUAGCUAGUAUAUUAGCCUAGAGCGCAGCACAUUUUACGCCUCUUGUUAUAGUUGUUAGUAUCUAUUAAGACACUUUUUAAGCUCUUAACCUUAGAUUAGGUAGGGAUACCUACUAAACUUAAGCAUAUUAAUAAGCGGAGGAAAAGAAACUAAUAGGGAUUGCCCUAGUAACGGCAAGUGAAGCGGCAAUAGCUUAAAUUUAAAAUCUAGCUCUUUUAGGGUCUAAGUUGUAAUUUGCAGAGGGCGCUUUAGCGUUAGCAGCAGUCUAAGUUCCUUAGAACAGGACGUUACAGAGGGUAAGAAUCCUAUACGUGGUCGCUGGCCUUCGCUAUGUAAAGCCCCUUUAACAAGUUAAGUUGUUUAGGAAUGCAGCUCUAAAUAGGAGGUAAAUUUCUUCUAAAGCUAAAUACUAGCUAGAGACUAAUAGCGCACAAGUAGAGUAAUUAAAAGAUAAAAAGCACUUUAGAAAGAGAGUUAAAUAGCACGUGAAAUUGUUGAAAGGGAAGCGCUUGUAGCUAGACUUGCCUAUAGUUGCUUAUCUAGGCUUUUGUCUAGUGCACUCUUCUAUAGGUAGGCUAGCAUUAGUUUAGGUGGUUAGAUAAAGGUCUCUGUCACGUACCUCCCUUUAGGGAGGCCUUAUAGGGGAGACAACAUGCAACCAGCCUAGACUAAGGUCCGCGUAUCUGCUAGGAUGCUAGCGUAAUAGCUAUAAGCGGCCUAUCUUAAAAUAUAGACUAAGGAGUCUAACAUCUAUGUAAGUGUUUAGGUGUUAAGCCUAGACGCGUAAUAAAAGUGAAUAGAGGUAGGAACCCUUUUAGGGUGCACUAUUAACUAAUCCUAAUAUCUUUAGAAGGAUUUAAGUAAGAGCAUAGCUAUUAGGACCUAAAAGAUGGUAAACUAUGCUUAAAUAGGGUGAAGCUAGAGGAAACUCUAGUAGAGGCUCGCAGCAGUUCUAACGUGCAAAUUGAUUAUUAAAUUUAGGUAUAGGGGCGAAAGACUAAUUAAACUAUCUAGUAGCUAGUUCCUACUAAAGUUUCCCUUAGGAUAGUAGUAACGUAUUUAGUUUUAUAAGGUAAAGCGAAUAAUUAGAGGCCUAGGGGUUAAAAUAACCUUUACCUAUUCUUAAACUUUAAAUAUGUAAGAAGUCCUUGUUACUUAAUUAAACGUGGACACUUAAAUGUACUAUUACUAGUAGGCUAUUUUUAGUAAGCAGAACUAGUAAUGCGGGAUAAACUAAACGUAGGGUUAAGGUGCUAGAAUAUACGCUUAUUAGACACUACAAAAGGUGUUAGUUUAUCUAGACAGCAGGAUAGUAGCUAUAGAAGUUAGAAUCUACUAAGGAGUGUGUAAUAACUCACCUGCUAAAUAAACUAGCCCUAAAAAUAGAUGGCGCUUAAGCGUGUUACCUAUACCCCGCCGCCAGGGCAAGAUUUAAGCCCUAGCAAGUAGGCAGGCGUGGAGGCUUGUAACAAAGCCUUAGGGGUAACCCUAGGUAGAAUGGCCUCUAGUGCAGAUCUUGGUAGUAGUAGUAAAUACUUAAAUAAGAACUUUAAGGACUAAAGUAGGGAAAGGUUCUAUAUAAAUAGUAGUUAGACAUAGGUUAGUUAAUCCUAAGAGAUAGGGUAAUUCUAUUUUAAUGUUAGUGCUUACGCUGCGCCCUUAAAAGGGAAGCUAGUUAAUAUUCUAGCACCUAGAUGUAGAUUCUCCGCGGCAACGCAACUAAGAGCGGAGACCUUGGCAGGAGCCCUAAGAAGAGUUCUCUUUUCUUCUUAACAGUCUGUUACCCUAAAAUUGGUUUGUCUAGAGCUAGGGUUUAAUAGCUAGAAGAGCGCUGCACUUUUGCGGCGUUUAGUGCGCUCCUAACAAGCCUUAAAAAUCUGCUUAAAGAAAUAGUUUUUACGCUAGGUUAUACUUAUAACUAUAGUAGGUCUCUAAGGUAAAAAGCCUCUAGUUAAUAGAACAAUAUAGAUAAGGGAAGUUAGUAAAAUAGAUCUAUAACUUUAGGAAAAGGAUUAGCUCUAAGGGUUAGGUACGUUGGGCCUUAGAGAGAAGCCUCUAGCGUAGAAGGGCACUAACCGCAAGGUAGGCGCCUCUUAGCGCUAGGGUGCAGACACCCUUAGCAGGUUUUAGCCGUCUAGCGUAUAUUUAACAACUAACUUAGAACUAGUAUAGAUAAGGGGAAUCUAACUAUCUAAUUAAAAUAUAGCAUUGUAAUAGCUAGAAAGUAGUAUUAACGUAAUAUAAUUUCUGCCUAGUGCUCUAAAUGUUAAAGCGAAGAGAUUUAACUAAGCGCGGGUAAAUAGUAGGAGUAACUAUAACUCUCUUAAGGUAGCUAAAUGCCUUGUUAUCUAAUUAGUAACGCGCAUAAAUAGAUUAAUAAGAUUCCUACUAUCCCUAUCUACUAUCUAGUGAAACUAUAGCUAAGGGAACAGGCUUGGCUAAAUUAGCAGGGAAAGAAGACCCUAUUAAGCUUGACUCUAGUUUAACAUUAUAAAAAGAUAUAACAGGUGUAGAAUAGGUAGGAGCUUUAGCGCUAGUAAAAUACUACUACCCUUAUUGUUUUUUUACUUAUUUAAUAAAGUAGAGCUAGGCCUUACUACCUAACUUCUAGCGUUUAAGGUCCUUUAUAGGCUAAUCUAGGUUAAAGAUAUUGUUAGGUAGGGAGUUUAGCUAGGGCGGUAUAUCUAUUAAACUAUAACGCAGGUGUCCUAAGGGUGACUUAUAGAGAAUAGAAAUCUCUAGUAGAGUAAAAGGGUAAAAGUCCCCUUAAUUUUAAUUUUUAGUGUAAAUACAAACCAUAAAAGUAUAGCCUAUUAAUCCUUUAGUCCCUUAAAAUUUAAGGCUAGAGGUGCUAGAAAAGUUACCACAGGGAUAACUAGCUUGUGGCAGCCAAGCGUUUAUAGCGACGUUGCUUUUUAAUCCUUUAAUAUUAGCUCUUCCUAUUAUACUAAAGCAGAAUUUAGUAAGCGUUAGAUUGUUCACCUACUAAUAGGGAACGUAAGCUAGGUUUAGACCAUUGUAAGAUAGGUUAGUUUUACCCUACUAAUAACCUUGCCCUAAUAGUAAUACUACUUAGUACGAGAGGAACCGCGGUUUUAGAUAAUUAGUUUUUGCGGCUAUCUAACUAGGUAUUGCCGCGAAGCUACUAUCUGCUAGAUUAUAGCUAAACGCCUCUAAGUUAGAAUCUAUGCUAGAAUAGGGUGAUUUCCACCUACACUAGUUAGAUACAAAUAGGCCUUUGGCCCAGAACCUUACUAGAUUAGCGUUAGCAGCCCUAUUAAAGUUAGGGUUAUUAGCUAGUGUAUUGUAAUUGUACAGUGCGCAGGAUUAAAUCCUUUGCAGAUAACUUAGUUGUCUAGCUA
rnacentral:rRNA from 1 species